CGCGUAGGCGGCCAAUUAAGUCAAAUGUGAAAUCCCCGAGCUUAACUUGGGAAUUGCAUUCGAUACUGGUUGGCUAGAGUGUGGGAGAGGAUGGUAGAAUUCCAGGUGUAGCGGUGAAAUGCGUAGAGAUCUGGAGGAAUACCAGUGGCGAAGGCGGCUUUCUGGACGAUAACUGACGCUGAGGCGCGAAAGUGUGGGGAGCAAACAGGAUUAGAUACCCCUGUA
rnacentral:rRNA from 1 species